rnacentral:sRNA from 1 species
AACAUUGCAAUUGCAUUUUCAUUUACCCAAUAUUAAUUGUCGAGAGCCCACCCCCUUCCCUUCUCACUGACAUCGUAACUCUCUCCUCUCCAUCGAUCUCGCUCCAUCUGCUCGCCGUCGCUCUAUAUGCUCGUCAUCACCGUCGAUUCGUCUGCUCGUCGUCACCGUCGCCCAUCUGCUUUCCGUCACCGUCGAAGUGCCCCGCCAUUCAAGAUCUGAAAUCCCCAAUACAGGGUGCUUUGCGGCAUUUCGUUCUCCAAAACUUUAGCAAACUGGUGGAUGCCCUGAGAUGAGUAGUUAUCUACAAAGUGGAUGGAUCCUGAAGAGUACAAAGUCUAAGGCAUUUUAUGUAAAGGUUCAUUAGUUGAGGAUGAUUUUUCCAAGAAAGAAAAGAUCGCGGCUUUCAGGCCGAUCUAAAGAACAUUAUGUUGAUAUUGCACCUGAGAUCUUACAAGAAGAGGACGAAGAAGUACCAGAUGACCUAUUUACAGAGGAGUCGAAUCAAACUAAAAGAAAGAGGGGUCCUACUAGAAUGAAGACAAUUUCCACAAAUGAUGGUCAACGAAUUGAGAUUGAAUGGAAUGAAAACGGCCAGUUUAUUGGUGACGGAUCUAUUGACUUAUCUUCUUACAUGGGUUCUUUGGUCCGAGAGGUUGUCCCUAUAACAUUUGAUACUUGGAAGGAUGUUCCUAAGAAAACAAAGGACAUCCUAAUCAAGAUCACAUAUAUCAGUAGUUGUGAAGUCCAUAAGAGAAGCAAGAAAUUGGAAAGCAAGGCUUCGUCUAAAACCAAAUAAUGUCAAAUUAAUUCAAGAUUGGAAGACUUCCCUUGCAAAGUGACAAAAGCGAAACAUUCAGAGAGAUGAAGUCUAAGCAACUCCGCACACAUGUAGUCGCAAGGGAUAUGGUAGGUUGGCGGAGGAUUUGAAAAGAAAAAGUGUAGACCCUUCUCUAGUUUCUAGAGGUGAUGUUUGGAUUGCAGCACAUACUAAAAAGGGUGGUGGACCAUCCAAUUUGCUUGCUGCAGAGACUAUUGAAAAAAAUUAAGCAAUAUGGAAAUGGAUCAUCAUCUGGUUUUCGAGGUGACGUUCUUUCCAAAGUUUUUGGUGCUGAGCGACAUGGUCGUGCAAGAGGAGUUGGAGGUGGUGUUCCUCCUACAAAGCUUGGAAUAUUUUCACAACAAAAAUUGCGUAAUCACCAAAUGGAUGAAAAGGUGCACAAUUUAACUAAUCAGGUCAGAGCACUGACAGAAUUGGUGUAUCUUUUUAUGAAAAAUCAGGGUAAUGAUCUACCAAGUGAGGCAUCUCCUGACACACAGGUUGCAGCUCCUGAGGCACAUGUUGAUACUGUCGCAAGAACUGAAACUUGUCUUUCCCAUUGCGCAACAAAUGAAUCGUGGUGGCGAGGUUAUUUCUGAAAACAUUGAAACAUCGUGGUGUACCAGAUGGUUUGAUUAUAAGACACCUUCCUUUUGGUCCACCAACUUAUUUAUAACUGCUAAAUGGUACGUAGUGUGAUAAUUUUCAAAUAUUUUGAUAUUAAGACAGGUGUAGGACAACAUAGAAAUUCUUAGGGCCUUCAGCAACAAAAUUAUGAAAAAGUGAGUGAGAUACAAUUAAAAAAAUGAAAGAGAAGGAUCAUGAUUCAUGAUCUAAAGGUUUGAAUAGGGUAGAAAGGAUUUAGUUUCGUUGUUAAAAUCGAUUGUGAGUCUAUUGUUAUUGUAUUGUCAAUUUGUUUAUUUACUUGAACUUCCUAGUAUCAAUUUGGUUCGAUAUAUCUAGCACCACCAUAGAUAUAUCUAGUAUCAAUUUGGUUAGAUAUUGUCAAUUUGUUAUUGUAUUGUCAACUAUAGAAUGUGCAUCAGUUGUAAAAGGAACAAAACAAUUCAGAUUUUUUGUUU